GACGAACGCUGGCGGCGUGCUUAACACAUGCAAGUCGAACGAUGAAGCUAGAGCUUGCUCUGGUGAAUUAGUGGCGAACGGGUGAGUAACACGUGAGUAACCUGCCCCGAACUCUGGGAUAACUGCUGGAAACGGUAGCUAAUACUGGAUACGACCUACGAAGGCAUCUUCUGUAGGUGGAAAGAAUUUCGGUUCGGGAUGGACUCGCGGCCUAUCAGCUUGUUGGUGAGGUAAUGGCUCACCAAGGCGACGACGGGUAGCCGGCCUGGGAGGGUGACCGGCCACACUGGGACUGAGACACGGCCCAGACUCCUACGGGAGGCAGCAGUGGGGAAUAUUGCACAAUGGGCGCAAGCCUGAUGCAGCAACGCCGCGUGAGGGAUGACGGCCUUCGGGUUGUAAACCUCUUUCAGUAGGGACGAAGCGAAAGUGACGGUACCUAAAGAAGAAGCACCGGCUAACUACGUGCCAGCAGCCGCAGUAA
rnacentral:rRNA from 1 species